AUACGUAGGUGGCGAGCGUUGUCCGGAAUUACUGGGCGUAAAGGGCGCGUAGGCGGCCUGUCAAGUCAGAUGUGAAAUCCCCGGGCUUAACCCGGGAACUGCAUUUGAAACUGGCGGGCUUGAGGGCAGGAGAGGAAAGCGGAACUCCCAGUGUAGCGGUGAAAUGCGUAGAUAUUGGGAAGAACACCAGUGGCGAAGGCGACUGCCUGGACGGCUCCUGACGCUGAGGCGCGAAAGCCAGGGGAGCGAACGGGAUUAGAUACCCCGGUAGUCCUGGCUGUAAACGAUGGGUACUAGGUGUUGGGGGUAUCGACCCCUCCAGUGCCGCAGUUAACGCAAUAAGUACCCCGCCUGGGGAGUACGGCCGCAAGGUUGAA
rnacentral:rRNA from 1 species